UGGGGAAUAUUGCACAAUGGGCGCAAGCCUGAUGCAGCAACGCCGCGUGAACGAUGAAGGUCUUCGGAUCGUAAAGUUCUGUUGCAGGGGAAGAUAAUGACGGUACCCUGUGAGGAAGCCCCGGCUAACUACGUGCCAGCAGCCGCGGUAAUACGUAGGGGGCUAGCGUUAUCCGGAUUUACUGGGCGUAAAGCGCGCGCAGGUGGUUUAGAAAGUCUGAUGUGAAAGCCCACGGCUCAACCGUGGAGGGUCAUUGGAAACUAAUAAACUUGAGUGCAGGAGAGAAAAGUGGAAUUCCUGGUGUAGCGGUGAAAUGCGUAGAGAUUAGGAGGAACACCGGUGGCGAAAGCAGCUUUUUGGCCUGCAACUGACACUGAGGCGCGAAAGCGUGGGGAGCAAACAGG
rnacentral:rRNA from 1 species